GGUAUUAAAAAAAUUGUCACUCUAAGCUGUUUAAUGUUUGCACACUUGGCAUGCCACCGAAACAGAACUUGUUAAGAGUGAAUAGUUUUAAGCAUCAACUUAUCCCAAAAGGAAAUGAGCAAAGAAAAAUGGAAAGUUUAAGCAUCAUCAAUUCAGAAUUUCUGAUAUCUUGAGCUACAAGCUUAGGACUUGAACUUUUAAGACCAUGUUAGGCAAGGCACAACUUGAUGAGAAUGCACGUAUAAUCUUUGUGCAUGCUGCUUUGAAAACUUGGAGCAAGCAGGAUUUGAGCUUUUGGUACUAAUUAAAUCCUGAAAAUCAUACAUUUCAUUAUUCUACAAUCCCAUCAAUCAUCUGAAUGAUUUUCAACGCCUUCUCUUGCCAUGAAACUGCUACCCAAUAAUGUAUUUGAGUCUUCAGAAGAGUCUGCAAACUCCUCUUUGUACAUUUCUUCUAUCAUAGGCUUCCACAGCCGCACUCGAGCAUUUAUGAACCAAUUUGAAACCUGAAGCAACAAUGAUUGCCAACCGACAAUACAUCAAAAUCAAGCCACUUCAUAGAAAAUGAGCGUAAAAUUUAUUUUGGAAAGUUAUAGCAAUAUUUAACUUGAUUCUUGGUCAAGCCUGUCUGUGAUGCCAGCAUUAGCUUCUCAGAAUCAUUAGGAUACCUACGUGAGCAACAAUCAGCAACAAAAGCAAUAAGCUUUCAUUAGAUAUACAAUUAAUAUAAAGCUAUCAUUCAUCUUAAAGCUCUUACGGAUGCAAGAAGUGUUCAAAAAGCCAAGAGCGAAGGAUGGCCACAGAGGUCUCUGGCAAGCCUCUGAUGGGUCUCCAUGCUUGCCUCUGGCUUUGGAUCAUUCCAAGCUGUUGAAGAGACAUUCGAUUAUGUCCAGUCCCUCCAUCGAACAGGCUAAGUCGUGACAAUCCAGUACUGAUUUUCGGUAAAUCUUGUGAAAGUUUUCUUCUUGUUGAAUUGAUUUGAGACACUAUGUUAUCUGUCAGUUUGCAGAAGUGCCUGGACAUGGCUUGUAGGGCUAGAGCAAUAUAACAUUUGGCUGCCCCUAAACCUGCUAUCUCCUCAAAUGAUGAUACUACUUGUUCCAUUUGAUGGUAGUAUUUCUCGUAUCUUCCCUCAAUCUCCUCGAGCAAUGCUACAAGCUUUGCUAAUUUAACCUGAAGAUCAUGUCUAUCAGCUUGUACGGACUCAUUACAGCAUAAUUCUGCUUUUAAUUCAGAAGAAAGUCCUAGAGCUCCUCUUCUGCCUCCAGGAAAUAACUUUCCCACAUACUUUUCAUUGUUAAUUCCAACUGCCUUGCCACCAACACUAACAAUUUCUUGUAAAAGGAGCUGAGUAGGCUUUAAAUAUCUAGAAUUCUUAAUAUCAAUGGAAAAAUAUUCUUUUCCAUAAGCAGUGGAAGAAGAUCCACUAGGCGUGGUUGAUGACAAAGCAAAUGCAUUACCAGUAAAAGAACAGUGAUCGUUUACUUGUUCAGCUCCAGGAUUACAAUCUUUCCUCGUAUCCUCUCCAAGAAAUAGGUAACUGGGGUUGACGAGAUCUGAAUUAAUAGAUCUCUGCCUGUAGUGGACUGGAGAAGCAAGCAUGUGAGAACCAAGAGAUAAUGACGGCCCCUGAGCUUGAUGAUUUGUAGCAUUUGCAGCUCCAAGAAGAUCCAUUAAAUGUCUAGUGUGGCUAAUCUCAGAUUCUUGUGCUACUGAAGGAGAUUGGACAAGGUCUAUUGACCUAGACAUUCUUUCCCCAAGAGAAUGUACGCUAGGCAGUACUCCAAGAGACUGGGGAAACAUGUGGCUGCCUCUUAAAUCUGAACCGUAAGCAUUGAAAUUCUGGUUUUCAAAUUGGUUUUGACUAGUUACAGAACCUGAGAUGAAGAAUUGUUGUACCAGACUAGAAGCUGAAUUUGGGGGUGAAUCUUGUGAAACCAUAGUAACCAAUAAAAAGAAAAAAAAAUGAUUAUAGGUUAAGAGAAGGAAUUAUAACCAUAUCAGAACUAUUAAUAAACUAAAACCCCAAAGCAACAUAAAUGGUCAAACAUUGUAAAGCAAGGAAAAAAUCAGAACGCAGGAUAGUGGGUUUCAUCGCAAAACAAUGGCUCUAGGAACUGGGCUCUCAAGAACAUACAUCAAGCAUUCAAGAAACUGAAACUUGGAGGCUGUGGCAGUCAGUUGUCCAUAAACUACAUCACAAGUACAAAGACAAGGAAAACUUAAUGAGGUUAGGUGGAAUUCUGUUCUAAAGUGAUCAAAAUCAAGACCCAGAAAGAAGUGUUAUGAAUUAAAAAGGACCUCGCUUUUGGGAAACAAAAUUCUAACAAACAGAAUUAAACCCAGUUCAGAACAGGAAAAUAACAAAAUUGAAACUAGAAGAAGAACAGAUUCAUUAAACAAAUCAUCAGAAAAUAAAAGCAAGAGACAGAGGGAGAGGUAAAAUAGAGUUCCAAUUUGUUAAAAAAAAUAGAUAAGGAGGUAAAAGUACAGGAAUAAGAGAACAGAAUUCAAGAUAAGCUAGCAUCUUAAUUAGUCUUUGCCCCUACUUCAACCUUCCUGAUUGAACUAACAAAGUUCAAGACUCAAGAGAACCCCUAAAAGAUACAAUGGAAAUCAUUUCAUUCUAUUAUAUGCAUAAAAAAAAUGAAGGGCAAAGGGCCAGGGCAGAAAAUCCACCAAUUUGUGACAGCUAAAUACCUCUGUUUACACUAAGAAUUCACAGUACAGACCUCCUUUCUCUGUCUGAGAUAUGAACAGAGUUGGUCUAAAACUAAGCAGCCAAAAGCUAUAAUGCCUAAUAGGCUAAUAACAUAGCCCUCUGCUAAGAAGCGAAGUUAAUUGGUCAAGAAAAAAAUGCAGAAAAUGACAGAAAAAGAUGGUCCCCUAGCUUCUCUGACUAUAAAACAAGAAGCAAAAGCAUCAAUCCUUCAGCUUUAGUUCGUACAGUUGCAUUUCGUUGGGAGACUCAAAAGUACUUUCUCAACUCAAAAACCUGUGAAUCUCU
rnacentral:misc_RNA from 1 species